ensembl:lncRNA
AAACUUUGUUAGGUGACUCAAUAAGUGACUACUGUGGUGCCAGAACACUGAUAAAGAAGACUAAUGUGAAGUGUUCGUGUUAACUUCUAUUGUUAAGGAUUUAGAAAAUCCUUGUAUUUAGAAAUAAUAAGAAAGCAAGAAGAGGACUAUAUGUCCUUUCAAUGUAGUAAUGAAACAGUAUUCAACAAGCCCACCCCCAGAAUUAUUUAAUCAUUUAAUUCAGUAGGAAAAUUUACCUGUAUUUAACCUGGCUAUUUGCUAUGAAUUUGACUCUAUGUAACCCCAUGGACUGUAGCCCACCAGGCUCCUCUGUCCAUGGGAUUUACCAGGCAAGAAUACUGGAGUGGGUUGCCAUUUCCCUCUCUAAGAUACUGUGCAGUUACAUGUAAAUUUGUAGAUUUUUGUUUGGUAGAGAUGUAAAUAAUUAUGUCUAAUAGGAAAGAUAAUGAUUAUUAUUUCAUUGCCCUGUAAAACAUUAACUUGUUUUAUAUCUAACCUAGCAAUCUUUUCUUUUCCCCUAGAAAUAACCAGUUUGUCAAAUGCUCUUGGAACCAGCUUUACCAUCCUACCUGUUCUUUCAUCAGUUAAAAUAAAAUCAUUGACAAGAGUUCAUUCUAUAUAGGUGAUGGGCACCACGGAAGUGUUUUUUUAAGGUUGGGUGGUGUGAUUUUUAAAAGAUGAUUUGGCAGCAGUGGAAAAUGCACAGAACACCAGUGGAGACACUGUAGUAAUGGCCCAGGGACUUCCCUGGUGGCUCAGCGGUAAAGAAUCCUCCUGCAAUGCAGGAGACACAGGAGACGUGGGUUCGAUUCCUGGAUUGGGAAGAUCCACUCCAGUAGUCUUGCCUGGAGAAUCCCAUGGACAGAGGAGCCUGGUGGGCUAUAGUCCGUGGGGUCACAAUGAGUCGGACACGACUGAAGCCAUUUAGCAUGCAUGUAGUAAAGGCCCAGGCAGGACCCAGUGAUAAUAGUGAUUGAGAAGUGAAGUCAAAUUUUAGGUAAAAUCUGCAGAAAUUGGUAGUCAUUCAUUUUGCAGACUUGUAAAAGAGGAAUCAGCAAGGAUGCUUAUGUUUUUGAAGUCAAUAACUGGGAAAAUGGAGGUAGUAUUAUUAACUGAGGUAGGGAAAAUAGGAGGUGGAAUAGGACAGAGGUGAUAGGUCUAA